AGGCUUGCCAACUUUAGGAAUGUCACAGCUUCUCUUUCUUUCUGCCUGACCUGCUUUCCCCUGAUGACACUAUGCUGGGAAUAUUGGGAGGUGGGGGUGAGGAUGGAAGGGUAGACGGUUGCUCAUUCAACGGAUUCCACUAUGAAUAUGGUAUGCUGGGCCUGGAUCCCAUUGCAGUCGACACAAGAGUAGUUAAGGAGGCUCAAAGAGACUCAUUGUGCUGAGUUAGGCUCCGUGACAACUUCAGCCUCAGGCUGACUACCUUUUCCUGCAUCGCACGCCACCCCCACUUUAGCUCUACCUCCCCUACAGUCAGCAGCAAGGAAGAAACUCUAAGCGGCUGGCUCUGGGGAGGUAUGUACUUCCGCAAACAAUCCACCACCCUAAACCAGGGAGGAAGGGCAGAACCGAGGCCUGGGAGGCUGGCAGGGGUCUCCAAGUCAGGCUUAUUUGAAGGGCUGGGGAAUUGGUGAGCAUAAGGACACGAAAGCUUUCCCGAGUCUGGACCUAGCCGGAAGGUGGAAGAACUUGUAGACUUCCCUCUCAAGCUGCCCGGGAAGGGUUCUCUGGAUUCUGAGUUAGGGGAGCGUCUAGAUUGACUCCUGCUUCCUGACCUGCCGUGUAACCUUUAGCAGACACACUUCACCUUCAGGGCGAGUUUCCUAGCCCACCAAGCGGUAAUUCAUAAACCCAUCCUCAUGAACCUCCCAAGAACGCAAACAGGAGAAGGAGGAGAAAGGGGCAGGGAGGGUUCUGGGUCCCCCUUCCAUUCCAUCUUCUUCCGCCCGGGGUCCCGGCGCAUUCCUCCUCCAGCCCUAGGUUUGCCCGGGGUCCCCAGUGCUCAGCUGGAAGAUGUGCCCCUUCCGUCUAGGCAAGAGCCAGAGGACUCGGAGGAGAACCCCGGGAGAGCGCCUACGUCUCAGUCUAGCACUGUCUCGCCGGAAGGCAGGCGGGUCCGCGGGGCACCGGCGCGGGCAGGCGGGCCGGUCGCCGCGGGGGGGGGGGGGGGGUAACGGCCGCGUCCGCAGUACCCGCCGCCGCGUGGCCGCCCACAUCCCGCUGCUCACCAUCUGCUCAGACGCUGGAGCUGAGAUCUGCCCCGAGAGCUUGGCCGCCCCCGUGAGCGCGAAGAAGCCACCCAGCAGGACGCGCAGAGCGGCGAGCCCGAGCGCCAUGGCCGCGCAGUAUGACUGAGUAGAGUCAGACUCCAGGAGUAACCAUCUACACGUGCCUCGCAGAAGACCGGGGUUUCCUUCCAGCCUGAGCCACACUAGCUUUGGGAUCUGAGCUGCCACCUAACCUCCUCGGGCCUCACUAUUUGCAUCUGUAAAAGCGAUUAAGCCCGUUCUCUUUAGGAACUGGCCUAGCACAAUGUCUGGCACCUGUGGAGAAUCAAGUUCCGCAUCAUUUUUCUCAUUAGGCAUAGAAUUUCAUUGAAGAUUUUUAAGCAGUGGAGUGACACAAUCUGAUUUAAAAUCAUUCUGCUAACAAUGUGGAGAAAAAAAAUGCAAAGGGCAAGAAUGCAAGCAGGAAGACAGGUAGGAGGUCACUGCAAUGAAUCAGAGAAAAGACGAUGGUGCCUCAGACAAAGAAGGUAGCAGCAGGAAUGGUGGGCCAGAGUCUACUCCAGAAUUUCUCAAAGAAUGGUCCAAGAAAACUGGGCAUCAAUAUCACCUGGGAUGCCUGAGAAAGAAGGGAGCUCCGUUGAAGUAGUUUGCGCCUUAUAAAUAUUUACUGAUUAAAACAAAAAGGAAAAUUUAAGGACAUCCAGGCUAUUUGAAUUCAAUAAAAUUUUGAUGCUAUUAUAUUUACAACUGUGUGUACUAAUACUAUAUCCUAGCACUGACAUACAGA